rnacentral:rRNA from 1 species
GCGUAGGGUACGUAGGCGGAUAAUCAAAAAUAUAGUAAAAGACUGAGGAUAACCCUCUUUAAGCUAUGUUCACUAAUUAUUUGAGUUUUGGGGGCGAUCAAAUGAAUCCUUUAAGUAAGGGUUAAAUUGUUGAUAUUAGGAGACGUUCGAAGGCGAAAGCAAUGAUCGACUCAAAUCUGACGUUAGGUACUAAAGCAUGGGUAUGAAAAGGAUUAGAGACCUUGUAGUCCAUGCUGUAAACCAUGAGUGUUCAACGUCCUUGUGUGCUAUGUCUUAUAAAUUUAUAACAUAAAACACAGAAGGGGGUUUGAAGCUAACGCGUGAAACACCGCCUGGGAAAUGUGGCCGCAAGGUUAAACUCAAAGGAAUUGACGGAGACUUAUACAAGG